CUUUGAAGUGUCAUUUUGUGAUUAUUCUGUUAAAUUCAAAUGGCAAACUGAGUAAAAAUGUAGUUCAGAAAGGAAUCAGAGUGAAAUGUAUGUGGAAUCAAGAUACUCCAUGCAUCAAACUCAGGUGGUAAGCAUGCUUGGUAAGUGUGAUAUUCAUCUGCUCUGUGAUAUUUAUUGGUUUUCCCUGGGUCUCCAUACAGCCUUUUUCUGAUUGUGAGAAGAUGCAAAGAGGUAGAAGCUGUUUCUAACCAUAUUCCAGAUAAGAUACAGUUGUCUGCCUUUCCUCUUCUCCUAUUUGCAUUGUAUGCAACAGUAUUUGAGCCCAGUUUAUUUCUUCCCACAGGCCAGAACCAAAAAUCCAAAGCUGCUGUCCCCAAACCCAUCUCCGUUCUGUCAUAUCCAGCAGAAUAUUCUUUUUCACUUCUCAUAUGAACACUGUGAAGCCUGGCUUCAGUAUGCGUAGACUGGAUGACUUGCUUGGAAGUGUCUUGGCAUAGUCUCUCAUCUGAAACAAUGCAAUUCAUUCACAGACUCUGUUGGAAUAACAGCUGCUUUUCAUUAUUAUUUUUCCCACUGAAUUAAGUAUAUUGUUUCUUUAUUGUGUCUAAGUCCAUCCCUCCCACCUGAAGUGUUUGCUUAUGUUUCCUAUAUUCUGAAAGACAUGCUGUCUCAUUCUCCUGCUACUGCUGAUUCGUAUUUCCAUCCCCCCAUGCUGAACAUUGGCUUUACUAUAAUACCUCUUUUCUUGAGUUUUCUGUAAUUGUCUUCCUUAUCUUCAUCAUGGGAAACUGCUAUUUUGUUAAUCUCCAUACCCAUUCUUGUCUGCACAGUGAGGGAACAAUUUUCAGUCUGGGAAAAAUCUAAAAGAUCUUGGUGGAUAUUGUAGCAACCAAUGGCUUUGUAGAGAGUGUAACCACAUCUCUUAACACUACUCAUUCCAUAAGUUCUGAUUCUUCGUUUGGUUGAGGUCUCCCUGGACAGAGGUACACUUUUGGAGAUGAAGAUAUAUCUCUUUGGCUGCUUAGCUGAUGUAAGCCACUGCAAGAGCUGAAUAUGCUCUCCCCAAGUUUUCUUUUCAUUUAGACUUACUAGAUUGAAGUCUUACUGUAUUGGUCUUUAUAAUGGUACUUCCUCAUGCCAGCCACCUUUGCUGAUCAAUCUUGUGCCUGCUCCAGUGUGGCCAGACUGAAAGUCGUGCUGCUUCGAAGGCAAACAAAAAUUCAGUCAGGCACUGGGUCAUGAGGAUGAUAUUCCCUGUCUCAGGUCUUUUUCUCAUUUAUUCUUGGAUAGUUUUUCUCCAAAGCUACCUCUUUCUCUUUAACUGAAAGACACAGGACGUAACAAACCUCUUAUUGGUUUAGGUUCACUGCAUUUGAUCCACAUGUUGUGGACUGUAUCUUUGCUUCAUUUUGUGGCAGUCUCUCUCCUCGCAUGGCAGCUCUGCUAGCUUCUGUCUGUCUGUCUGAAAUGACUGCAGCUUAGAGGUGGUCCCUCCAGCUGCUGUCUGUCCCCUAUAACUGCAAGCUGUGAACAUGAGUGAAGGCUCUGCUUUAGAUUGUUCUGGGCCAUCACUCCCCAUGCAGCCAGACCCCACAUUUCUCUAUCUUUUAGCAAGACUAUCCCAAGCUCUCUGUGGACACUGUUUGUUUUUUUUUUCUUCUUCUUUUUUCUUUUGUUUUUUUCAGUACAAAUCGAGGCAUUAUCUUCUACAGCUGUUCUCUGACAAACAUGGAAAUACACUUGUACUCAUUAGUGACCUGCCCAUUAUAGCUCUUUGUACCCUUUAUUAUGGCACCUUAAUGACCUUCAUCUAUCAAAAUAUAGCUGAGAAUUCCUAUUCUUCCAUAUGCCCUUUGAGGAGACGGGAGGGGAAGUAUCACGCGCAGGCAAUGAGCCUGCCUUGCUUAGCGAGCUGAAUAAUUAGUAAUUUACGAAUUCAGUAAACAGUAAACUCGCUCUUGACCUUCCACUUGCAGCAGCUGCCUGAUGAGGCGCCCAGCUGACACGUCCAGCUGCCUGAUGCCUCCUCCCUGUGCAAAGCUGCCACCAAAGCUUCUGCUCACUCUGGGCUGGUGUUUCAGAAGGCAGCAUGGUAUUGCCUACUCUGCAUUGUGCUUUCUGAUUCACUCUAGUUCCCUCAUCUUCCUGUGGAACAUCAAACAUAAUCACGAUAUUGAAAAUGGAGGCAUUGCAGAUUUAGAAGUGGGAUCUGCUUAACUAAAAAUAGCACUGAAGCAAACCCUGUCCUUCUGUGCUGAAGGACUGCCUGGUAUUUACAGUGCUGUACAGUCAUUAAGCUCAAGCAUAGAAGUAGGAAAGAAUGCCAACCAAGAGGGACCAGGAGUUAUAUGCUGGUUUAUUCCAAGCUUCUUUUCUCUGUGACCUUGAGCUUAUCACGUGGUAAACCCAAACUGUAAAGUAGGUAUAAUGCUGGAUUCAUCGCUCCAGAGUGUGAAUGAUGGAAUUCAUAUUUACAGAGUGCUUGAAGAUCCUUGGAACUGUAAAUAAUGAUGAGAAGGAGAACACAGGUGUAUUUUACACUCAUUUAUCUGAAUUCUAUAGGAAAAGGAUUUUUUUUACAGUAGAAAAGUUCAAAUGAUUUCCUGGUAGUAACACAUUUGUUUCGUGUCAUACAAGACCAAGGCUCCAUAAUGCAGUUCCCAAUGUCUGGUUUUAAACUGCCAUGAUUUCUAGAUUCACUUCAUACAAUGUUGUGAGUUGUAACUAGCUUUUAAAUAUUCUGCUCCAAGACAGCCAGCUAUAACAGAAGCAGUCAGAUUAAUAGGAAGGAAAAGCCUUUUUUUUUUUUCCUUAUCUUAUUCUAUCUUACCUUUUAGCUCUCCAGAAUCUUACUGGUUCUCUUUAUACUUUCACAUGGCUCUGGCAGACAAGUGCUGAUUCUCAAAACAAAGGCAUUUUUACAUUAAGAAGGUUUUGGCUUUCAGUAGUAAAAUUCUAAACAUGACAUACAUACUGAACUUUUCACUUAUCUAAAGAGUUCAAUAUUCUUACUAAAUUGAUGUUUAAAGUAGGAAAUACAAAUUGAAUGUGGAAUUGUCCUUGUCAAGAGCUAGAAAUGUUUUAAUAUUACAUUAAAUCACUCUCUCUUUAGUCCCUUAAUUCUAAAAGCUGAGACUAAGGAAAACACCAACUGUCACAAGUCUUGCCAAUCUGCUCAUGCACUUCACUGUAUCGGUUUUCCUUCACUCUUUCUAUUCACUGGAGUUGACUCAGGCUUUUUUCUAGGUCUGAAAGCCUAUUUAAAACUCUACAGCUUACCUCCCACACUGUCCUCUCUAUAGUAACAAGCAACUACGGUCUGCAUUCAGAUGUCCUGUGGUCUGCUGAGGGCUGAGGUCUGCAAGCAGAGUCUGGAUAUUGUACAUAUGUUUAGUAUGACUGUACAGUCAAAACACCUUAAACUUUUGUAUUGAAAUCCAGGGAGAGUGGGUUACUAAUUACUAGCUAAUUACUGCAGGCGCCAUAGAACUGGUGAACCAAUUAUAGUCCUGUUCCUGUAGUUCUUUCCCACUUCCUUCCUUGCCCUUUAACUGAGAGAGCUUAGGAAGGAAUUGUCUUUCUCUUAUCAGAGCUGUGCAGUCUUUGAUAGUCAUUUGUGGUUCUAGGGUUUUCAGAGUGUUGGAAGUAACAGCUCGUUGCCUCAGCUUAGAGCUAACCCAGAGAACUUGAAGAAGGCUUGACACGUGCAGCCAUUUGAGUACCAGUGCCAAGAGGAAGUGACAAAGCAGCUCCUAGGGCAAUAUGGAUCUCCAGCUGAUCAGCUAAGAUCUCCUUCUUCAGUGAUGCUCCCGUUCUCAUUUUCUUCAAACUCAGGUGAGCAGUAUGUGAAUUGCAAGGACUUCAUGGAGGGCUGGAUUUUAUAUCUGGACUGUAGGACAAACUGAAGGUUUUGGGAUAGCAUAUAUGACUUGUGGAACAAACUCUAUAACCACAAAGGAGUUGUAGAGCAGGCUGUGUGGACAAGGAAGUUCGGGUGACAAAUUACAAAAACAAAAAAAAACUUGAGAAGUGCCAUCUGCUGAAGAUCAUGCUGCAAGACAAGCAGUGCCAAAAAGAGAACUCAGCCUUGAGCCAGUGCUCCCGUCAGACUUACAGUUGCAUCCUGCAUGAUUCUGGUUACUGAAUUGGUCCUGUUCAACUUAAAGCUGCUGUCAGCAAGACGGAGUGUCAGAAAAAUAUAACUUCUUUCAUAAAAUUCUUCAUGUGUAUUUUGGAAAAAGUUUAAUUAGCUGUCAAAUUUUCCUUGUGCAUUUUCAUUUCCAAGUUCCACAUCUAAGCAGUGAGUGGUGGCUCACAGCUUUCUGGUUUAUAGAAAGCGUACUGUUGUACAAAGUUCACCUGGUUUUAUUCUAGACUGAUCUCCAAAAGAGGACUUCCUGUACUGUCUAUAUCUGCUUCCUACAAUUACUGUUUUACUGAAAUCAGUUUUAAAGCAGUUGUCUGAUUCCAUCAUCAUUUGACAGAAAUGAAAAAAAAAAAAAAUCAUUUCUAUAUGAAAUAAAAUCAUUUCUACAGAACAAGUGAAAAUACGGAGGAGACCCUGCUAGCAAUCUGGCUGCAGGAUAAAGCUUUGCUUUUCCUGCCACCCAUAGAGCUACUCCCCUGUCCUCACCCUCCUCCUGUUAGUUUGUCCCUUCUGUUAAUCCCCUUUCAAUGUCUUGCUAUUGAAAAAGGAAGUCUAUUAUAUUUUUCUCAUGAAUGGUCACUGUUACCGCUAAAAAUCAGUGUUGGAUAUAAGUAGAGCUGCAGAGGGCACACAAUUUUUUCUCAGAAUCUGACUUUUUUAUGAAAUUGUUUUCAGCUGCUAUGAACUUAAACAUUUUUGGCUAUUUGUUUUUUAAAGCUGCUUUAUUCCUUUUUCCACAUGCUUAUUUUCUAUUGGAGAAAAAGAUUAAAUAAAUAGAAGGGGUAAAAAGAAGCAGAAAGAAAAACUAAAAUUAAUGUCUUACUUUCUGUAGUUUUCAUUGGAAUGUUCCCAAAGAAAAUAAAUGUUCCAGUCAUACCAUGGUCUGUCUCCUCUCAGGGUUCAACCCAUUUAAUCCUAUGAGGCCUGCUGGCCAAUGUAACUUCUUCAUGAUUACUAUUAGGAAAGGUUACAAUUUUUACUUUUCCCCUGAGACAUAAAUUGGCAUACUUUCCAGUAGCCUCUCUUGACUACAUUGAUUUGCUCUUCUAAUUCAAGAACAGUUUUUGGUUAAAAUAUCUGUUUUGUUUCAAAUAGAAUAUGUGGUAAAAGUCACUACAUUUUAUUUCCUGCUCUGUUACUAAUGACUAAGUGUCCCCAGUGUCUGAAAUUUUUUCUAGCAGAAAUGAAAUCUAAAUCUGUCAUCUAAUAAUAGCUCUCUCAGGGAUUUGAGACUUCCGAAUCCCUUUACAGUCUUUCCUCAUAGUAUUUUUUUCUCUUCUCUUGGCAGGUGUUUUAGGGCUGAGAUUUCACUUUUUAAGGUGCUAUGAGUAGCAUCUGUAGAAUCUGAAUGACUUCAGUUUGCACAGCUGAAAGGAAAACUCAGGGCAGCGAGGCAUCAUGCCGUGUUUAGAGGUUUUAUGUUUACUAUGAGAUGUAAUUUUUUCAAGAUGGAUGAGAUGUGACAGGGCAUCCAUUAAGGUUAUCCCUUUUUAACCUUCUUUAUUGAAUGAGAAUGCCUAAUGACUCUAACUGCUGUUUAUGACAGAGGCCUAGAAAUCAAAUAUUACAUCUCAGACUAUGCACACAACCCUUUACAAACGUAUAAAAUGAGUAAUCAAAUAUAUAUCUGAAAAGAGAGAACCAUUAACUUCUAUUUUCUAGAGGAGGAAUGCACUCAUAUGCCCUUGUAAAGACUAAAGGAGAAACUUUUUUUCAAUUAGAUCCAUUACUUGAGGAGCAGAUGCUCUUGAGUUUGAAACUGCAUGGUACAAAACACUCAAACAGGCCAUGCAUGGCUCAUCCCAAUGGCAGCAGAAUGCACAUAACAACCCAGUUGGGGUUUUUCAUCUCAAAAUUUUAUGACAGAAGAAACCCUGAGAGAGAAAGUUUUUGUUUUCCCUUAGAGAGUGUAUUCAGGCUCAGGGGAGAUAACUGCUAAUUGCAGAUAACAUCAUAAUGGUUCUCGCCAGAGAGCAGCUGGUUCUAUGCAGUAACAGGAUUAAAGCCUUCCCUUCUGGCAGAGCAGAUAGGGCUCAAGCACCGAGCCCUUCUCUAUGUGAAAGUCAUCAAAAUGCAGGGCUGGACAAGAUGCUGGCCUUGCAACUGCAGGUCAACACAUGCUUGUUAUUCUGCCAUCACCUUUGCGUGAUCACAUCAGGUGUCUGAGCAGGCCAGGCAUGCAGACUGCAGCUCCUGCUGCAGGCCUGCAGACAUCUGUGGUGGGAGGAGAGGGCAGCCUUGUGGGUGAGCAGGCUUUCCUCUCAUAGGAGGUAGAUCAGGACACCAGCUCAUGUGGCAAGCUUGCAGGGAUUUGGUGAUGGGAUGUCAAAACUCACUCUAAGUCACAGCUUCAACACUACUCUAACCUUUAUUUCUGAAGAGCUGGUGGCACUGCUGACUCAGUAGCUAAGAGCCUGAGGUACUCUUUGUGAUGACAUUGGGAUUGAAGUAUAUUUUCUCAUGAAAGCUUAAAAAAUGAGUCAUUGCCUAUCUUAAAACAGGGCCUUGAGAGAAACAAUCUUCAAGGGCUGCCCCUUCUGGGGGGCAGGUCCCUCCAGGACUACCAGUGCUGCAUUUUUGUAGGAGCCAAACAAAAACUCGGUUACUACAGAUAUAAAACAGCACACUCACAUUUGUUACAAGUCACUUAUGGAAGAAAUUAACUUGGAAUUUAUAUUUCAGAAAUUUUUCCUUAGACUGCAGUAAAAGUUAAAAUAAUAAGGUAGGAAGAAAUCAAAUCAUUUAUACAAAUAAACGCUUCCAAGUUCUUUUAAAAAUAACCUGUGUGAUUGGACAACAUUCAUGCUACUGAGAGAAGUUUGACAACUUACUAUACGUGAAAUCACCUCAUGCUUGUAAACUUGGGCUCUCCAUCAGUUACUGGAAAGUGGCUGUCAGCCCCUGUGUUUGUUUUGUCUUUUUAACAACUGGUAACUGGAUGGGGUUAACUGUGAUUCAGCUAAAAUGCUGCUAUGUUUAAUACUGUGGUAUGUUAAGCUAUGGGAACUACACAGGUCAAGCUUCACUGCAUUGCUGAGAUUUUUAGAGCAUCAAACUGUCAAAUGUCUUUUGAGGAGCAGUAGUCUUUAAAACAUGAUAUCUUUCUGCCUGCUAUCUCAUCAUAUUUUCUGUCUUCUGGUUACAGUAGUAUUUUCCUUUCAUUACUAACUGAGAGCAUAUUUUCUUUACAAUUAUUUGAGCAAAUUAACCCGCCAAAUCCCAUUUGUCUGCUUCAGACCCUGUUUCUAAUACUGAUUUCAGUAGAGGUGGAGGUAAGGGAGGAUUAAUUCACAAAUUCUCUUCAAGAAAUAGGGAAUUGUGUUAUAAUAACAGCAGGGAGCUAUUCUUUCUAGUCACUGAUUAAGAUAAAUACUCUAAUUUUGUGAUAUAGGAUGUCAAUUAAAUUACUCAGGAGCCCAUUUUGGGUGAGUGCUCUGAGCUGAUCUCUUUGUCAUGAACUCUAGACGUGCUCUCUGGCUGUUAUAACUUUCAGUGUGAAUGGAAGAUUGAGCCUAAGCUUGAGACAUAAAUUUUCUGACACUAUCUUGUUUUGAAGGCAAUACAGUCGAUAUCUGGGAGAAAGCUAUGCGGCUGAAAAGCAGUAAUUGCCUUGUCUGGCAAAGAAAUAUUGCCUCCUCUUUGGUUGGAGGCAUGCAGAAUGCAGGAAGUGGACAGCAAGAACUAGAGAAUGCUGGCAGAGAUAAAGCAGCCAGGGUCAAGACAGCCUGGGGCAAUGCUGGCCAGCCAGAGCCCAAAUGGGGCUGCUUUACACACAUCUUGCAGUUCCUGUGAUUUCAUGUGUAAAUGCUUGAGCCAGGCUUGUCCUAAGUGCAGCAGCUGAAGGAAGAAAAAGUGUUGCAUGCAUGUGAGGAGGCUGCAGGUCCCACUUGUGGCCUUUCUGAUGGGACCAGCUGUCUGUUGUAGACAGAUCUGUCACCAUGGCUCAUGUUAAUAACACUGCUAUCACCUGCUGCCUUACAUGAAGGUUGGCAGAGAUAUGACCCUAAACCUGGAUGCAUUUAAUUUAUGUUAUGAACCUUACACAUAUAUAUAAUAUAUAUAAUAUAGUAUAGGUAUAAUUCAUGAAACACUUAGUUUUUGUCUUGACUGUGAAACUACACAGGUUGAAUAAGCAGAGAAGGACAAUUUUAAAAAAGAUCUGAGGUGUUAUACUAAUUAAACUUUAAUGCAAGAGGAAGAAUCCAGAAUGAGUUUUCUAUUCCUAUUGAGCAAUCAGCAUUGGGCCAUGAAACUAGUUGAUCUAGUUGAUGUCUAAAGAUAAUUAAAUAAAAGGAUCAAGAUCUGAAGUCUCUUUAAAAUAAGUGAAAGCAUCUUUUUUCUGUGUAGGCUGGUAGUGAGCAGUGAGCAUUUGCUCUUGCCCCCUGCACGCUGCAGACCUCAUUCAGCCUCUCAUUUGGCACAAUACAAUAUAACGUUUUAAAAUAAUCUGUAUGUAUCAUCAUAUGCUAUAUAUAAUUAGCAGAAGGUUAGCACUUAUUAUUUUAAAAAAUCAAUUUCAUAGCUUAAUAGUUAUAAACAGCUGUCAUGUGGUAGUGUAUAUUAACUCUUAACUACAAAAAUUUAUAUUUUUUCUGUAACUUGAUGAUCCCAUUUUCCUGGUAAAACACGUUGUCAUAUCAGAGUCUUUGUUAUUGCUGUAACACAAUCUAGUAAGAUACAUGACCAUCUUUGUGCUUAUUAUUCCAAAAUUUAAUUCUGUACAGCUGAAGCAGACAGAAAAUCUUGCUGGUAGGAAAUAUGUGUUGAGGGCCCAGUGCAUGAACUGGAUAUUCUUUAUAGUAGGGUGUGUUGGCUUCACUUUACCUCAAGAGAUAAUGCACAAAUCAAUAAUAGCAGGAAUAAGGAAAUCUAGAAAAAAUCAAUCAGUGGGGCUACUUUUUAUUUUGGACGUUUAGCAUGAGAAUCCUUGACAUAAUUUCAGAGGCAAUGUGCUGAUUUAGUAGAGGAGCAGACCCCUCUAAUGGAAUCUCAGAUUUGGCCUCCUGAAGUGGAAAUCAUAGGAAGUCAUUCAAGGAAGAGGUAUUGUAAACUUCAAGGUUAAAUCUGUAGUUCGUAUUUUUGGAGACAAAUCUCAUCUUCAUUAAAAACAUGUAUGUUGGAUAUGUUGCCCAUCCCAAUAACAGCGUCAUUCCAGCUGCAUCUCCUUGAAUUAGUACAGACUGUGUGCCAAAUGCAGAUCUUGAAGUUUCACAGCAAUUCCACCUCUACAGCCACGCUGUGAUGUAAACCUCUUGGUAUUUCUGAAACAGCAGUUCCACAUAUCAAAACUAUGCUUGUCUCGAUUUGUUUUCAGUUUUUGUCAUCUGCUGUAACAGCUGUCUCCUAAGUAGCAUAGAAUAGACCCUGCAGACAAAUCUCACCAUGGGAAUUCUCCUCCAAGGGAAAUCUUGUGCUGUGGCAAUUAACAGCUCACGUGUUCUGAGUGGUGCAUACCAGGCAUGUCACGCUGCUGAGAUGUUAGAGGAGCCCUAGCAUGCAAAGUUGUCAUGGCUCAGUAAUGAGUGUAGAACAGUGUGUGUGUACCUCUUACAUGUAGUAAGAUACAGGAAUGCAGCAUGUAUAAAAAUGAUCAAACAGUAUUUAAGAAUGAAAGUGUUCACUGGCAUUCCUAAAGGCUUAGCUUGCAAUUUAUUCUGUCCAUCUGCCUAGAUUACCUAUCUGUCUCUUUUUCUUUUUUUUUCAGCUAUGUAUAAUAUUUCUCAUAGUUUUGUACAGAUGUUGAGAGGUCACAGUGAGGUUUGGGUUCACAAAAAGCUCUGUUAGAAGCUGGUUGAAAGCUCUAGUGUAGGUGGACUAAUUGAAAACUUUGUUGGAGAGGAUCUAAUUUCAGAAUGACCUCAACCUCUCGUGUCAUACUUUCCUACUGACAAGCAAGUAGGGUUUUUCUUUUUAAUUCUAUUCAGAAACCAUUGUCAUAGCAACUUUCCCUUGAGUCAUCUUUAGGUGGUUGUUUUUCAUCCUCAGGGCUAUCUAUGUUGCAGUUCUGAUUUUACCUGAUAUAUUAAAUGAGGGCUUCAAGACUUAGCCUCCAACUACGUUUUAGGGAAUAAAAAAGACCCAUCUAACAAAGUAAAGAUCAAAUCCCUGCAAAAUAUUUGAUUAGCUGCUUCUAUGAUGACAGUGUCCAAAAAAACUUUUAGAGCAUACAAAGUUAAAUAACCAAGCAUAGCAGUCUUGUGUAACAAGAUGCUAGACUUAACAUAAUAGAACAGUAUUAGUAAUUCUAAGUUUAGAAUUUUAGUUUUUCAGGAAGUGGAAUAUAAUUGGAAUAAAUGCUAAACAUAUAAGUAUAUGAAAAGGUAUACAAAAAUCCAAAAAAUGCCAAAAAAAGGAGCAGAUUUAAAAAUGGAAAAAACGUGAUCACAUUUGAAUAGUUCUAAGUCUAAGGGGAGCUGAAAAAUCUUGUAAAAUUCAAGAGUUCUCCUCAUGCCUCCUCUGUACUACUGCAGCUGUUACUGCAAAAGGUUCAUUCUGCAGAAGUUAGCAUUAAUACCAGUUGGAAAAAGAGACUAAAAUAUUUUUGCUGUGAUCAGACUAGAUGAAUUUCACACAUCUCUGUAAAAGAACAAGCUGGGCCAACAGCAGUCAAGUCACACUUAAUCCUUGUUUUGAGAAUUUAAGGGAAACAUAAACCCUGUUCUCUGCACAUGAAUAAACACAGGGAAAAUUCUGUCCCUACCCUUUAGCUACUGGGAUAUGUAGCAAUAAUUAACAGGUAGUCAAAGAGAAAGCAAGAUAUAGUAACUUGUAGAUCACCAAGACUGACUCAGGAAGGGCUCCCUCCUUAUCACAAGAAAUUCAAGUUGCUAUUACUGUAUGCUGUGUCCUUUCCUCAUCUGUUUGUGAGGACAGGAAUUGUGCUGAGGAUGUGGUGGGGAUGGACAUCAGCGGAGACGGUGGAGCUCCCCAGCCCAUGGCUCUCUCAUUUUAGCUGGUCUUACAGGGAGGGUUUUGGCAUGUUUGUUCAGGCUAAUUGGCUUGACAGCUAAUUAGAGCUAAUGAGCCUAAAGCACAAAGUAAAAAUGACAUCUAUGCUCUGUUUUUUAUAACUCUUGCAUGUCUCAUUCUGGUGAAGCCUAUUUGUGUCACUUAGAUUGACAUACCUUGUUGAUCUUGUUACCUGUCUGACUGCCCCAAGCUUGUGGUAAUGGCUCACUUAAUGCAAAGAAGUGUACGAAUAAGACAGUUUAAUUCAUUGUAACAUUAAUAUUGAUCAUCCAUGGGCUCUUCUGUUUAUUCAGAAAUGUGGCUGUUCUUGUUAUUAAAUGGCAACUUUCUUCAAUCAAAUAUUGAGCUAUUUUCUAAUAAGUACUAAAAAUUUUCAAACUAAAAUUGAGAAAGGAAUUCCUUAGUGAUUUACUGGUAUAAAAUGAAGCAUUGAAUUAACUCUAUAUUUAUUAUUAGUUGGAAAGAAACACAUACAGAAGAAAUGUUUUCAAAAAAAUUAUAACAAACUGAAAUUUUGAGCUGGAUGCAAUGGGUAUUAAAAAGGAAAUAGCUGCUAAAACUAAUGAAUAAAAUUAUGACAAUUUACUACA